GAAGAAACCGAAUGAGAAAAGGAAAACAUAAAUCAGCAGCCAGAUGAACCAGGCAGCCAGUGGCAGGAAUGAGUAUGUCCCCCGACAGAUGAGUCAUUGGCAGGCGGACAGAGAGAGAGAACGUAUAACAGCUGCCACCGAAAAAAUCGGAGGAGGAAAGCGCAUAAAUAAGGAGAGACAUAUACAGCUGUGGGAAGGAAACGUCAUAGCUGGCCGUCGACGGCAGCAGGAAACUGUCGCACAUUAACACGCUGGCAAGGACAAUGGCAAUGGCGACGACGCCAUUAGUGUUUGACAAGGACAUCUCACACAGGCACGGCAGACACACACACACACACGCGCCCAAGCCAUACACAAAGACACCACAAUAUGAAGAACAGCCAGACCUUCCUUCCACACAGAACACAGGACAGAACAGAACAGAACCGAACGGAACGGAACACCGGCCCCCCCACCCGUUCCAUGGUGGUGUGGUCAAGUUGAAGGAUAUACUGCUUGUGCCGGGAUGGAGCAAGAGUAGGAGCAGGAGCGGGGGGUGGCAAAAUGGACGCAUGCCUUGGGACGCCUGAAAGCAUAAAUCAGCCAUGGGGUGGCAGCUCCGCAGCUCUUUAGCUCUUCAGUUUGUGGCUGCGCACUUCUGACCAAUAAUUAGUUUGGGCAAUUGGAUUCGUUAUUUGAAUUAAGUUUUCCUUGCAGAUGACGACUGGCUAAUGUAUGAGCUGUUGACAACGCUAAGUGCUGGUGAAAACGUGUUAUAAUAUUUUGGCAAGGACGUGGCUGGCAGUCAGGCUGGCCCUCGAAGAGUAACCGACCACAUUGGCACGGCACAGCGAUGAUGAAUGGUACCAACCGAACGGCUUGUCUUCCCUCUGGGAUCCGAGCGUAACAGUCUUCAGCUUGGUGUCGUCAUUGCAUAUCACCGUCGAAAUAUAUUACGAAAAGCUUCAAGGAUACGCUUAAUCAUUUAGAUUAAAAGAAAGGUUCAAUUACGAGAAAAUUGUUUGAAAUUCUAACGACUUUCUUAAGCUCAACAUUGUAUCUUGGCUCCACCUUUUGCUCUUAAUAAUAGCAAUAAGCUUAUUGUACUAAUUUUUAGCACCUUACAUUUUAGUCCAUCUCUGACGGAGCUUUGCCACAUCAUUGAAAGUCGUUUACAAAAGCUUAAGAGUGAGCUUUUUCAAAUUGAAAAAUGGUAUAGAAACAGGAUAAAUAUUUUUGAUUAAGCUGCCAGAAAGUUACUUUUGAUGAGUUAAACUUAUUGUUGCAUACUUUUAAC
rnacentral:sRNA from 1 species